rfam:Daphnia pulex DAPPTscaffold_1347_Cont12596, whole genome shotgun sequence.
GUUCGUGUGGCCUAAUGGAUAAGGCGUCGGACUUCUACACAAGAAGGCAAUCCGAAAAUUGCGGGUUCGAGUCCCGCCUCGAAUA